GCGAUAAGUAAUGUGAAUUGCAGAAUUCAGUGAAUCAUCGAAUCUUUGAACGCACCUUGCGCUCCUUGGUAUUCCUUGGAGCAUGCCUGUUUGAGUAUCAUGAAAUCUUCAAAGUAAAUCUUUUGUUAACUCAAUUGGUUUCUACUUUGGUAUUGGAGGUCUUUGCAGCUUCACACCUGCUCCUCUUUGUUCAUUAGCUGGAUCUCAGUGUUAUGCUUGGUUCCACUCGGCGUGAUAAGUUAUCUAUCGCUGAGGACACUGUAAAAGGUGGCCAAGGUAAAUGCAGAUGAACCGCUUCUAAUAGUCCAUUGACUUGGACAAUACCUUUAUGAUCUGAUCUCAAAUCAGGUAGAACUACCCGCUGAACUUAAGC
rnacentral:misc_RNA from 1 species